GUCAGCCAGUGAGACAUCCGCAACUCUUCGUCUGCCUUUCGUCGUUGACAAUGCAAGGACAUACAACAAUGAGCAUUAGACAUAUGUCUGUUCUAUCCAGCGAUUCCAUUUCCAAUCUCAUCCCCCAUCAGCCCCACAGCGGAAAACCUACCGUAAAUAAUAAAAGAAAUCGUCUUAGGCACGCAUCUCAGGCGGCUGAUGGACAUUUUCGCACACGGGCGUAAGAAAACAGGACAUCGGCAACAACGAAUGCCCCAAAGGACAUCACUUUGAAUAUAAAGCAAGCGAAUAAAACACAACACAACAGCGAAUGGAAUGGAGUGAAUGGAAUGGACGUGUGGCAUAAAAAACACUUCGGACGGAAGGAGAGAAAAUAAAAAAGAAUUUCUUAUUACAGAUAUUUUGCUUAUCUGCAGCAAAACAUUCGUUCACACUUCCCACAGGACU
ensembl:ncRNA lncRNA:CR44597 long non-coding RNA:CR44597